UAAAUACUCCCUAGUGACCGAUAGUGAACCAGUACCGUGAGGGAAAGGUGAAAAGCACCCCGGAAGGGGAGUGAAACAGUUCCUGAAACCGUGUGCCUACAAGUAGUUAGAGCCCGUUAAUGGGUGAUAGCGUGCCUUUUGUAGAAUGAACCGGCGAGUUACGAUUUGUUGCAAGGUUAAGCGGAAAAAGCGGAGCCGUAGCGAAAGCGAGUCUGAAUAGGGCGCAUAAGUAACAGGUCGUAGACCCGAAACCAGGUGAUCUACCCAUGUCCAGGAUGAAGGUAAGGUAAUACUUACUGGAGGUCCGAACCCACGCACGUUGAAAAGUGCGGGGAUGAGGUGUGGGUAGCGGAGAAAUUCCAAUCGAACUUGGAGAUAGCUGGUUCUCUCCGAAAUAGCUUUAGGGCUAGCCUCGAGGUAAAGAGUCAUGGAGGUAGAGCACUGUUUGGACUAGGGGCCCUUCUCGGGUUACCGAAUUCAGAUAAACUCCGAAUGCCAUGUACUUAUACUCGGGAGUCAGACUGCGAGUGAUAAGAUCCGUAGUCGAAAGGGAAACAGCCCAGACCACCAGUUAAGGUCCCCAAAUAUAUGUUAAGUGGAAAAGGAUGUGGGGUUGCUUAGACAACCAGGAUGUUGGCUUAGAAGCAGCCACCAUUGAAAGAGUGCGUAAUAGCUCACUGGUCGAGUGACCCCGCGCCGAAAAUGUACCGGGGCUAAACAUAUUACCGAAACUGUGGAUGAACCUCUUUAGAGGUUCGUGGUAGGAGAGCGUUCUAAGGGCGGUGAAGUCAGACCGGAAGGACUGGUGGAGCGCUUAGAAGUGAGAAUGCCGGUAUGAGUAGCGAAAGAAGGGUGAGAAUCCCUUCCACCGAAUAUCUAAGGUUUCCUGAGGAAGGCUCGUCCGCUCAGGGUUAGUCGGGACCUAAGCCGAGGCCGAUAGGCGUAGGCGAUGGACAACAGGUAGAGAUUCCUGUACCAGUGCUAAUUGUUUAACCGAUGGGGUGACACAGAAGGAUAGGGAAUCGCACGAAUGGAAAUGUGCGUCCAAGCAGUGAGUGUGAGAAGUAGGCAAAUCCGCUUCUCGCGAAGCAUGAGCUGUGAUGGGGAAGGAAAUUAAGUACGGAAGUUCCUGAUUUCACGCUGUCAAGAAAAGCCUCUAGGAAGAGUAGUACUGCCCGUACCGCAAACCGACACAGGUAGAUGAGGAGAGAAUCCUAAGGUGAGCGAGAGAACUCUCGUUAAGGAACUCGGCAAAAUGACCCCGUAACUUCGGGAGAAGGGGUGCUCUAUUAGGGUGCAAGCCCGAGAGAGCCGCAGUGAAUAGGCCCAGGCGACUGUUUAGCAAAAACACAGGUCUCUGCAAAACCGUAAGGUGACGUAUAGGGGCUGACGCCUGCCCGGUGCUGGAAGGUUAAGAGGAGUGCUUAGCUUCGGCGAAGGUACGAAUUGAAGCCCCAGUAAACGGCGGCCGUAACUAUAACGGUCCUAAGGUAGCGAAAUUCCUUGUCGGGUAAGUUCCGACCCGCACGAAAGGCGCAACGAUCUGGGCACUGUCUCAACGAGAGACUCGGUGAAAUUAUAGUACCUGUGAAGAUGCAGGUUACCCGCGACAGGACGGAAAGACCCCGUGGAGCUUUACUGCAACCUGAUAUGGAAUGUUUGUACCGCUUGUACAGGAUAGGUAGGAGCCGAAGAGACGUGUGCGCUAGCAUACGAGGAGGCAAUGGUGGGAUACUACCCUGGCUGUAUGACCAUUCUAACCCGCCACGCUUAGCGCGUGGGGAGACAGUGUCAGGUGGGCAGUUUGACUGGGGCGGUCGCCUCCUAAAGAGUAACGGAGGCGCCCAAAGGUUCCCUCAGAAUGGAUGGAAAUCAUUCGCAGAGUGUAAAGGCACAAGGGAGCUUGACUGCGAGACUGACAAGUCGAGCAGGGACGAAAGUCGGGCUUAGUGAUCCGGUGGUUCCGCAUGGAAGGGCCAUCGCUCAACGGAUAAAAGCUACCCCGGGGAUAACAGGCUUAUCUCCCCCAAGAGUCCACAUCGACGGGGAGGUUUGGCACCUCGAUGUCGGCUCGUCGCAUCCUGGGGCUGUAGUCGGUCCCAAGGGUUGGGCUGUUCGCCCAUUAAAGCGGCACGCGAGCUGGGUUCAGAACGUCGUGAGACAGUUCGGUCCCUAUCCGUCGCGGGCGCAGGAAAUUUGAGAGGAGCUGUCCUUAGUACGAGAGGACCGGGAUGGACACACCGCUGGUGUACCAGUUGUUCCGCCAGGAGCAUCGCUGGGUAGCUAUGUGUGGCAGGGAUAAACGCUGAAAGCAUCUAAGCGUGAAGCCCCCCUCAAGAUGAGAUUUCCCAUUUCUUCGGAAAGUAAGAUCCCUGAAAGAUGAUCAGGUAGAUAGGUUUGGAGUGGAAGUGUAGCGAUACAUGGAGCGGACAAAUACUAAUCGAUCGAGGACUUAACCAA
rnacentral:rRNA from 1 species